rnacentral:lncRNA from 1 species
AAUCAGGGGAUAGAUCGAUCCUUGUGUGUGUGUGAUCACGUAUAGUAGUAAUCAAUCAUAAUAAUAAUUCAUCAUGAACGAAUGGUGUCAAGGGUGUUUAUUAGUGAAGGAAGUUAGUACGUAAUUACUAAUAAAUAAAUAAUAGUUGCACCAGCGGGUACCUUGAGGUCUGGCACGGCCAGGGUGGUUCUGAAAGCUGGCAGGGCCCUGAUCAACUGCUUUAGGGCUCGUUCGGUUAGCUGCUUCCAGGCCAGGAUUUAUUCCAGAUUUGCCUUUUUUAUACAAAUUAAGCCUACUGUUCCAGCUGGAUUUUUUCCAAGGUUUCGUUCCCUGCUAACCGAACGAGCCCUUAGGCAGGCGUGCAGUGACCAUCGACAGAUCCAUUCGAACGGCGUCUCCUUUCUCGGCCACGCGACUGACGACGAUGCCUUGUUGUUGUUCUUGUUCAUCCGAUCGAGUUGGAGAAACCUUCAGUGACACACACAAGUCCAUGCAUCUCAAACAAACAUACAAGUAUAAGUAUGGGGACGUGAACAGGGUGAACAUGUAUACAAGAAGACAUGUUUCCCCCCUUUCCUUGCUUGUGUGUUCUAUAUAUACAUAAAAGAAACGAUCCGACUCUUGGGUUUUCGUUUGACACAAAACAAAGAAGUAACAAUCGUUUGCUUUGCUUGUUGUUAUUAAGGUUGUAAUACACACAGAGUUCUGAUCAUCAGCUAAGGCCCUGUUUAGUUUCCCACCCAAAAUUUUUUCGUCCAUCCUAUCGAAUCUUUGGACACAUGCAUGGAACAUUAAAUGUACAUAAAAAAAUAAACUAAUUACACAGUUUUAUUGAAAAACGUGAGACGAAUCUUUUAAGCCUAGUUACUCCAUGAUUAGCCUUAAGUGCUACAGUAACUCACAUGUGCUAAUGAUAGAUUAAUUAUGCUUUAUAGAUUUGUCUUGUAGUUUCCUGAUGAGCUAUGUAAUUUAUUUUUUUAUUAGUUUCUAAAAAUCUCUUCCGACAUCCUUCCGACACAUCCGAUGUGACAUCCAAAAAAUUUUCAUCUCCAAUCUAAACAGGACCUAAGAAAUUAAAUGGACUAAAAAUCUCUCCACGACGCAAACCGCACACAAACAUAUAGGGUCCCAAGGGCAAAGGGGACUCUGUGUUAACCAUCACUCACUCUCCAAUGCAAACCAAAUGGUUUGCUUGCUUCAACGUUAAAGAAGGGAGAGGACACUUACCGUCAGGAGGAAGAGGAG